GACGAACGCUGGCGGCGUGCUUAACACAUGCAAGUCGAACGGAAAGGCCCUGCUUUUGUGGGGUGCUCGAGUGGCGAACGGGUGAGUAAAACGUGUGUAUCCUGACCUUGUCUUUCUGAUAACACUUGGAAACUGGGGCUAAUACCGGAUAGGAGCUCUUGCGGCAUUGUGUGGGUUGGUAAGUUUCGGCGGUUGUGGAUGUUCUCGGGGGUUAUUAGCUUGUUAGUGUGGUAGUGUCUUACCAAGGCUUUGCGGGCUAGCCGGCCUGAGAAGGUGACCGGCCACAUUGGGACUGCGAUACGGCCCAGUCGCCUACGGGAGGCAGCAGUAGGGAAUAUUGCGGAAUGGCCGGAAGUCUGUUGCAGCAACGCCGCGUGCGUGAUGACGGCCUUCGGGUGGUAAACCGCUUUCGCCUGUGACGAGGCGUGAGUGACGGUAAUGGGUAAAGAAGCACCGGCUAACUACGUG
rnacentral:rRNA from 1 species